rnacentral:piRNA from 1 species
UCAACAGUCUUGCCCCUGUAUAAAUCACCAA